UGGCUCAGGACGAACGCUGGCGGCGUGCUUAACACAUGCAAGUCGAACGAUGAACCACUUCGGUGGGGAUUAGUGGCGAACGGGUGAGUAACACGUGGGCAAUCUGCCCUGCACUCUGGGACAAGCCCUGGAAACGGGGUCUAAUACCGGAUACUGAUCCGCUUAGGCAUCCAAGCGGUUCGAAAGCUCCGGCGGUGCAGGAUGAGCCCGCGGCCUAUCAGCUAGUUGGUGAGGUAAUGGCUCACCAAGGCGACGACGGGUAGCCGGCCUGAGAGGGCGACCGGCCACACUGGGACUGAGACACGGCCCAGACUCCUACGGGAGGCAGCAGUGGGGAAUAUUGCACAAUGGGCGAAAGCCUGAUGCAGCGACGCCGCGUGAGGGAUGACGGCCUUCGGGUUGUAAACCUCUUUCAGCAG
rnacentral:rRNA from 1 species